rnacentral:rRNA from 1 species
CCCUUAGAUGUCCUGGGCCGCACGCGCGCUACACUGAUGCAUGCAACGAGUUUAUAACCUUGGCCUGAAAGGUCUGGGUAAUCUUUUGAACGUGCAUCGUGAUAGGGAUAGAUUAUUGCAAUUGUUAAUCUUGAACGAGGAAUUCCUAGUAAACGCGAGUCAUCAGCCCGCAUUGAUUACGUCCCUGCCCUUUGUACACACCGCCCGUCGCACCUACCGAUUGAAUGGUUCGGUGAAGAUCUCGGACUUCGAUAUUUAUUCUUUAUUGAGUUUAUAUUGUGGGAAGUUAUCUAAACCUCAUCAUUUAGAGGAAGGUGAAGUCGUAACA